rnacentral:sRNA from 1 species
UAGGAGUUUUCAAAACCGCAUGAUGAG